GACAUAUAGGUUGUAGGGAACUGAAAAGGGACCGACCCGUUCGGGGAGCCUAUACAGGUGUUGCAUGGCUGUCGUCAGCUCGUGUCGUGAGAUGUUCGGUUAAGUCCGCUAACGAGCGCAACCCUCGUCGUAUGUUAUAUGUGUCAUACGAGACUGCCGGUAAAAGCCGGAGGAAGGUGAGGAUGAUGUCAAGUCAGCAUGACCUUUAUAUCCAGGGCUACACACACGCUACAAUGGUCUGUACAAUGGGUAGCCAAGCCGCGAGGCGGAGCCAAUCCUGAAAGCAGGCCUCAGUUCAGAUUGCAGUCUGCAACUCGACUGCAUGAAGCCGGAGUUGCUAGUAACCGCAGGUCAGCAAUACUGCGGCGAAUACGGUUCCCGGGUCUU
rnacentral:rRNA from 1 species